UUUCCUUACAAGAUGAGACAGAAAACGAAGUUAAAAGUAAUGGUCAGAGUUGCUCAGCUCUUGCAGUGCAUCAUAGCAGAAGACUACUAAAAUUAUGGAGAAAAUGAGGUUUCUGCCUGGCAUUGCUUUGCAGGGAGGAGUGGCUCAUUCUCCCCUAAUUGUGGCUACCAGCUUACCACACUUCUAGGAACCUUGUUAAUAGGAUCUGAAUGCUGCCUACUUACCUCUCACUUGUGGAAGCCUACCCUUUGGUGUUCUGCACUUUCAAGGCGGUUUUUUCCUUAAUCUACUCUCGUUUUUUGGCCCCUAAGGAAGAACAAGCUUUAUGGGGUACGCUGAGGCCAGGGCUGGGUGAGCGGCAGCUGAAGCCCGGCAGGUUCUCCUGCUGCCCCACGAUGGAGUCCACAAACCCAAGUGGGACUUUUUUUUUUUAAUCUCAUGAUAAUGAUGCAGCAAAUACUUGUUUACAAACGUAUGUUAAUAUGCUUCAUAAUACAUCAUUUUGAAAUCCUUUAAAGAAAAACAGAACAAAUGCGGAGGAGGAACUUAAAGACAUUUUAGAUCUUUGCAGAGGUGAUAGAAUUAAUGAAAACCAGUGCGUUGCCAUUAAUACCAGCCCAAAGCAGCCAGCUGCUUCCACGAAGCUCUUCCUCUCCUUCCACCAGGAAAGACCAUUGCACACACCCAAAAUGUAGAGAUCUGGGCUUGAUCUGCGCCAGAUGAGGUGUAGUUUGGAUAAGGCACGACCGGGGUGUAUUUCAGAGUCAAAUUUUUAACGGUACUGAAGCGUGAGGAGCUGCAGUCUGAGCCGUGCAUCAAGAGGAGGGACUCUACGUGCGCGCGAGCCGCCUCGUCCUCGUGAGUUUCGGGCUGGCGGCAGUGAAACCCGGGCUCCACAGCAGAGACGGAGCCCGGGGAUUUCAGGGCGCCCCGCCACGCAGCCGGCAGGACGCAGCCUGGCACGGAGCCACGCGAGCCCGACCGCAGCCCGGGUGCCAUCGCCGGCGGGCGGUGCGGGCGGUCCGCGCGGCUCCAACGCGCCCAAGCUCCCGCAGGCCGCGACUCCGCGCGUCGCGCAGCCCCGGCGCUCGGCUCGCCUCCUUAAGAGCGGCGGUCAGCUGACGGCAGGCGCCUCCCCCGCCGCGCGGCUGCGAAGUGCCGAAUGCCCGCAACGCGGAGCGCGACGGCACCCGGACCGGCGGGGACUGCCGAACGUGAGGGACCUCGCGCAGCCGAUGAGUGAUGUCGUGAUUCUGCAUUGCUGAUGAAACUCUGGCUUCAGACCAGCUGAUCUGACAGAAGCACUUGGAUGUCUGGAAUUCAAGAUACUUUUUUUGUGCUCUUACGCUGAAGUAGAACAAAUAAGUGCAAGAGAUUUCUCUA